AGGUGUUUACUUAGAGAUUUGAUGGACUCAAGGAUUAGAGAUUUUCUCCUAGGCUAUGAUGAGGUUACUGAGAUCUAUUGGGGUUCCUAUUACUAGUUCAUUAUAAGAUCCACGUCAGGCCCUCAUGAGUGAUUUUGAGGCAUCAUAUUCGAGUUUCUAGGGUGAGCAUUGUUCCGAACCGCAGCUCGAAGAACUGUCUCUCUCUUGUCUAUUUCGGCUAUCUCUAUAACUUGUUAUAUUAUCAACCGAGUUCCUUCUUCACCUUUGAACUUUAAGACUCUGGAGAAAUUGUGAUAAGGUACUUCUGCUAAUUAUUCUGAUUUAAAUUUUUUUGGAUAUCCCGCAUAUAUGCAGGCAAAUAAAAAAGGCAUUUUCCUUGGAUAUGCAUCUAGGGGUGAAUGGAUACAGACUCCGGUAUUGUGAUCCCAAGUCACCAAAAUUUAUAAUUAGCAGAGAUGUAACCUUUAAUGAAUCAUCUAUGUUACAUCCCAAAAAGAGUCUUCUAGGUCUUGUGAAGAGCAGGUAUACAUGAGCCGGUGGAGGUUGAACUUGACAUUCCUUCUGAGCCAAACUCAUCAACUGUGGAAGAAAAUAUAGUUGAAACUCCUGAAGUUGAGCCAGAAGCUAAUGCUCCAGAAGUUGAGCCAAAAGUUUAACGAAAUGAGUAUUCCAUUUUUACACAUAGGCCAAGGAGACAAAUUCGAAAAACCAGAAAGAUAUGAAAAUUAUGUUGCAUUUUGCUUUUUUUAGUUGCACAGGAAACUGACGAAACUGAAGAACCAUCAAAAUAUUCAGAAGUUGUAUUUUGUGCUGAUCCAGCCAAGUAGUGAUUGAUUGCAAUGAAUGAAGAAAUUGAAUCUCUCCACAAGAAUGGUACUUGGUCUCUUGUGAAGCUACCAUCAGAAAAGAGAAUUAGUGGUUGCAAAUGGGUCUUCAAAAAAAAAAGGAUGGAAUUCCCGAGGUUGAAGAUGCAAGGUAUAAGGCACGAUUAGUAGUAAAGUACUUGUUACACCUUGGAAAAUUUCGCGUUGUUUGCAUUAUAAGCAAACUAACAUAAUCCCAAAGUGGACAUGAAGCCCUUUCAAAGUUAAGAAAGAUAUCUAACAAUUUUAAGUGUGUACCUUAAGGUUUUGGAGUUAAAUGAAUCGACCGAAGCAAGCUCGUUGAAGACUAGAAUUGGUGUCAUGUUUUUGGAAGGUUUUGCAUCGCUUGUGCUAUAAAUUGAUUAGCAUUAUCUCGAUAGGGAGUUAUAGGGCUU